AUAUAAUUACGAAAAUAAUCACUUUCAAAUAUAUGAAACGGCUAUCACGUUCCACAUAUUUAGAAUUUCAGCCACACAAAAAAUCCACCACUUGGUGCAGUUUUGGUUUCCACACGAUACUAUACAUUGACUCGACACGCAACGUAGCAGACCUGUCAUGACGACUUUGUUACAUCGGAGACUUAUGAACUCGACUUUGUAAACAAUACAAGAAGAUUCAUGAACACUGCAUAUAUUCAGCUCCAACUACAGCUCUAAAUUCAUUACACUAAAACACUACAGUAGUCAUGGUAAACAAAAAUAUAGAGCAGCAACAAGGUGCGUUUCCAGACUCGUAUGCAGCUCCGCAACCGGCUGGUUACCCGAUGAGAGGUGCAGCUCCGCAACCGGCUGGUCCAGUAGAAACUAAAUCAAAAGGCUGUAAAUGUUGGUUUUGUUGUGGAUGUUGUGGAUGUACUUGCAGAUGUUGUGGAUGCUGUGAAUGUUGUGAAUGCUGUGGAUGCUGCAGAUGUUGUGGGACGUGUUUUAGGCAAAUCUUCUGUUUUCUCUGCAGCGAUGAGUGUUGCGAAGAAUAACACAAUCUUAUGGUCUCUUGACAGACAAUAUUAUUAUUUGUCUGAUGAUCAUGCUUCUUCUAUGUGAUUUUAGUUUUUAAACUCUGUAGAGCUGCAUGCAGUUGCUUAUUUUAUGGCUAUAUCCUGCAAAAUCAAUACUUCCUUGUAAUUAACAGAAUGAUUCAUUUGUAAAGUCAUAAAAAUUAUAUUAUAUAGUGAUGGCUUUGGUUUGUAGCUACA